UGGAGGAUGAGGAGGAACUCUCAAACAGGUGGAGGAAGAUGUGGCAACAAGGAGGAGAGGACCUGCAGGGUCCAGGCUGAUCCAGACCUGAUUCAGAGCGGAGGUUGGCUCUUUGAACCAGCUGCAGUUUGCAGACGAUGUUUGGUUUAACCUCAAAUCAACUAACAGAUCAAGGCUGGAAUAAAUCCAAUCAAAUCAUCACAAAGUACACCUUGCAAGUAUUGGGUUGGACCCUUUUUUUCCCCUUCAGAACUGCUUUAAUCCUKGGUGGCAGAGAUUCAACAAGGUAMUGGAAACAUYCCUCAGAGAGUCUGGUCCAUAUUGACAUGAUAGCAUCACACAAUUGUUGCAGAUUUGUCAGCUGC